rnacentral:rRNA from 1 species
AACGAACGCUGGCGGCAUGCCUAAUACAUGCAAGUCGAACGAGAUCUUCGGAUCUAGUGGCGCACGGGUGCGUAACGCGUGGGAAUCUGCCCUUGGGUUCGGAAUAACUUCUGGAAACGGAAGCUAAUACCGGAUGAUGACGUAAGUCCAAAGAUUUAUCGCCCAAGGAUGAGCCCGCGUAGGAUUAGGUAGUUGGUGAGGUAAAGGCUCACCAAGCCGACGAUCCUUAGCUGGUCUGAGAGGAUGAUCAGCCACACUGGGACUGAGACACGGCCCAGACUCCUCCGCGAGGCACCAGUAGCUAAUAUUGGAACGUGGGCGAAAGCAUGAUCCAGUACUGCCCCGUGAGUGAUGAAGGCCUUAGGGUUGUAAAGCUCUUUUAACCGGGAUGAUAAUGACAGUACCGGGAGAAUAAGCUCCGGCUAACUCCGUG